UCGGGUUGUAAAGCACUUUUGUCCGGAAAGAAAACUUCUGCCCUAAUACGGUGGGAGGAUGACGGUACCGGAAGAAUAAGCACCGGCUAACUACGUGCCAGCAGCGCGGUAAUCGUAGGGUGCGAGCGUUAAUCGGAAUUACUGGGCGUAAAGCGUGCGCAGGCGGUUCGUUAAGACAGAUGUGAAAUCCCCGGGCUUAACCUGGGAACUGCAUUUGUGACUGGCGAGCUAGAGUAUGGCAGAGGGGGGUAGAAUUCCACGUGUAGCAGUGAAAUGCGUAGAGAUGUGGAGGAAUACCGAUGGCGAAGGCAGCCCCCUGGGCCAAUACUGACGCUCAUGCACGAAAGCGUGGGGAGCAAACAGGAUUAGAUACCCUGGUAGUCCACGCCCUAAACGAUGUCAACUAGUUGUUGGGUCUUCAUUGACUUAGUAACGUAGCUAACGCGUGAAGUUGACCGCCUGGGGAGUACGGUCGCAAGAUUAAAACUCAAAGGAAUUGACGGGGACCCGCACAAGCGGUGGAUGAUGUGGAUUAAUUCGAUGCAACGCGAAAAACCUUACCUACCCUUGACAUGGUCGGAACCCUGCUG
rnacentral:rRNA from 1 species